CAGUCGCGUCUGCUGGGAUUCAGCCUUGCUUUUGCUUGGUGCAUUUCCUAGUCUACGGGCCAGCAUGGAUUUCGAUCGGUGGAAAAGGGUUGGGGGAAUGUGGCACCUCCGGGUGUGUUAUAGCCCCUUUCCGCAUACGCCGGUUGGGAUCGAGGACCUUCAGUGCACGCUUCGGUUGUGCUUUGAUGCUGGCGUAAUGGCUUUAAGCGACCGUCUUGAAACACGGACCAAGGAGUCUAGCAUAUAUGCGAGUGUU
rnacentral:rRNA from 1 species